CCUCCAGUUGUCCUUGCUGACUUUGGUGGCUGGGGGCGGGGUGGGAAGCACAGAGGACUUAUUGUGUGAUGUGUUCCUCUCCUCUGGCCAUUUUGGCAAGCAACCGAGGAGCUGAAAACAGGCGGAUGUGAGGUUUUUUUUUUUUUUUUUUUUUUAAAGGACUGUAGUUGGAAAGGGGUGAAACCCCAGUCUUGUUGAGCUUGGCUCCCCACUCUUGGGAGGAGAAAUAACCCUUCGUACUUGUUGAGGAAAGGGCUGGAGAGAAGACUCCGCUGUUCCUUGUGCUGCCAAUGGACAGGCUGAGGUUUGGAGGCCUGUAGUGAACACGCAGACUAGAGACUAGGGUGAUGGCUAGAACACAGAGUAACUGACUUCUGGGAACCACCUGCCUAGCUGUGAAGUUGUGCUUCUUAUCUAGCAUUGCUGAUCAGAAGGACCCAUUCUCCGAGCUGUCUACUCAUCACUCCUCUGUCUCCCUCCCGCUGGGCGCUGGGCCAGGGCUCUGAUGUGACCUCCAGUGACCUGGAGGGAGGCGGUGACAAGAGAAGGCAGGCAGAGGGCUAGACCUGAGGACUGCAAAGGCCUGAGAUGGGGACGGGAUCUGGGCCUUCACCUAGGUCUGAAAGUCAUUUGGAGAGCUGAUGGGGAAUUCCAACGUAGGCAAGAGCCUUGCCUCCACAGAGCUUACAGCAAUUCCACGACUGCAGUUCUGUCUUGGCCUCAAGGUUGAACCAAUCUCCCUGGAAGUAUGAGCCUUCAGGCUGCUAAAUACACAUUAAGAGGUUUGCUGAUUGUGACAGUCUGAUGAUGGCUGGAAGAUCUUUUCAAUCAACCAUUAGACUCCUCUAUGUACAAAGAAGGAGGUGGGUACAUUCUUAAUGUGUUAGUUAAAAACCUUUAAUAUAUGUAUAUAUCAGUAAUCUCACCUCCGAUAUAACUUGGACUGUCCAAAGGUCAUAAUUACCAGUGGUACAUGGAAGGUAGUCAAGACUAGAAUAACCUGGAGAGAAACAAAAGCACUCUUGUCAAUAAUAAAGAUAUUCCAAUGACAUGUUGACAUAUUAUGAAAUUAAAUCACACCUGUAAGAUUGGUCACUUUGUAGCAGACUAUAUUGCAGUAUAUUUUUUAAAAAAUGAAGACGGCCAGGGAUUUAGCUCAGUGGCACAAGUGCCUGCCUGGCAAGUGUGAGUUCGUGAGUUUGAUCCCCAGUACCAAAAACAACAACAACAAAAUUAAAUAAAAGACAAUAUGUCAGCCACCAGUGAAUGUAUAAAGGGCCUAGAUCUCAUACCCUAUGGAUUCAAAUAUAAAACAUUAAAUUCAUUUGGGCCAGGGAUUGGCUCAGUGGCACAAGCAUCUGCCUGGUAUACACAAGGUCAUGAGUUUGAUCUCUGAUACAAAAAAAAAAAAAAAAAGGAAGAAGAAGAAAGAAGAAGAAGGAGGAGGAGAAAGGAGAAAGGAGAAAGAAGAAGGAAGAAGGAAGAAGAGGAAGAGGAAGAAGAAGGAGAAGGAGGAGAAGGAGAAGAAGAAGAAGAAGAAGGAGAAAGAAAGAAAGAAAGAAAGAAAGAAAGAGAAAGAAAGAAAGAAAAAGAAAGAAAGAAAGAAAGAUAGAUGAGAAGGACAAAAUUUCUAGGACUUAUCAUUGUAAGUCCAGAUAUCCUCAACUCACUUUGUUGGGAUGUUACCCCUUCUCAAUUGAGGUAGUGCAACAGAGCUACUCAAAUAUACAUUGCAAUAAAGGAAGGACUGAACUACUUUUGUACCCAAAUUAUUGCAAGAUAUUCUCAGGCAAGAACCAUCUCUUAUUUUUCUGCCUAUGGAGGUUACUGUGGGUGUUCUCAUAGAGGUUACUGUGUCACAUAUAUUUGCCCAUCCUGUCUUUCUGCUGUUAGUUCUCCAUGAAAUUCAUUUUAUAAAUAAUUACUUAUUUAUAAAAAGUAUACAAUAGAAAAAGAUCUUGGUUAGAUUAGUAUUGGAGUCUAAGGAACCUCAAAAAGCUAUAAAAGAAAUCUCAGAGAUGCCAACUAUCUUACCCAAAUGGAUAAAUUGUAAAAACUGGGGUUAUAACUCAAAUUUUAGAAGAAACUGAAACAAACUUUAAAAAAAUUCUACUGGAAACUUAAAAACUAAUUAAAAUAAGAACUUGUUUUUCAAAACCAAAAUGUAUUUCUUUAAACUUCUAAUAUAGCUAUCAUGUGACUCAAAGCUAUGAUCACUGGAAUAUGAGGAGGCAUGUGACAGGGCCCCUUCCCUCUCUCAGGCAGAUAACGAACCAAACCCUGAUUCAAGACCUGAGACCCAUUUAUCUUGAAUGCACCGUCUUAGCAGGGUGCCACCUACAUAAAAGGAGGGAUAAGGAGCUGACUGCCUUCCUCUAUUCCCUAGUCUUGGGGUACUUCUUUUUGAAAUAGACAGGGAUAAUAGAGUUUAACACCCAGGGGCCCAAAGGUACCACAGUCCUUUAACACAACUGUGGGAAAGAAUACAGGAAAAACACACAAUUUAGGAGUACAAAUGCCAAAUGUGUAAUGUGCUCUUUUCUGCUUCCUCACAGAGAUUCUUCCAAGUAUUAUCUCAGCACACAGCACUGUAUUCCCUUUCUUCUGCUUGCUCAUUUUGAUACUAAGAAGCUAAUAAAGAUUAAAAGAGUGUCUAUUUUAGCUGGGUGUGGUUGUGCACACCUGUAAUCCCAGCACUCAGGAGGCUGAGGCAGAAGGAUCAUUGCAAAUUCAUGGUCAGCUUGGGUUACAUAGUGAGUUCAAAGCUACCCUGAAUUUACAUAGUGAGACCCUAACUAAAAAAAAAAAGACAAACAAACAAACAAGUCUAUUUUCCUAUUAUGAAAGAAGGUGGUAAAAAAUGUCUCCAGUUUUAAAGCAAAACCAAACCAACAACUUCCUGAAAGUCUGUCCUGUAAACAACAUGCAUUUGCUCCAACUGAGGCUGAAAACCGUUUCAGAAAGUAAUGAGAUUUAGUGCUUCCACUCCCAAUCUACAUCCCCUUACUUGACCGAAAUAAAUACUACUUACCCCAGUGCGAUCUCCAACCCAGGACAAAGAUACUGAGCCACUGAGAUCAUCGAACACAUGCUAUAAUGGGAAGAACAAAUGAAAUUCAUUUAGAAAUCUACUCUCCUACA